AACGAACGCUGGCGGCAGGCUUAACACAUGCAAGUCGAGCGCCCCGCAAGGGGAGCGGCAGACGGGUGAGUAACGCGUGGGAACGUACCUUUUGGUUCGGAACAACUCCGGGAAACUGAAGCUAAUACCGGAUAAGCCCUAACGGGGAAAGAUUUAUCGCCGAAAGAUCGGCCCGCGUCUGAUUAGCUAGUUGGUGAGGUAACGGCUCACCAAGGCGACGAUCAGUAGCUGGUCUGAGAGGAUGAUCAGCCACACUGGGACUGAGACACGGCCCAGACUCCUACGGGAGGCAGCAGUGGGGAAUAUUGGACAAUGGGCGCAAGCCUGAUCCAGCCAUGCCGCGUGAGUGAUGAAGGCCUUAGGGUUGUAAAGCUCUUUUGUCCGGGAAGAUAAUGACUGUACCGGAAGAAUAAGCCCCGGCUAACUUCGUG
rnacentral:rRNA from 1 species